AACGAACGCUGGCAGCGUGGAUUAGGCAUGCAAGUCGAACGGGAUCGACGAGGUAGCAAUACACCGUCGUGAGAGUGGCGGAAGGGCGAGUAAGGCAUGGGUAAUCUGCCCUCAAGCUGGGGAUAACUCCGCGAAAGUGGAGCUAAUACCGAAUGUGGCUCCCCGAGGCAUCUCGGGGCCGCUAAAGGUGGGGAUUCGCAAGAACCUGCCGCUUGAGGAUGAACCCGUGUGCCAUCAGCUUGUUGGCGAGGUAACGGCUCACCAAGGCUUACGGCUAGCUGGUCUGAGAGGACGACCAGCCGCACUGGGACUGAGACACUGCCCAGACUCCUACGGGAGGCUG
rnacentral:rRNA from 1 species